rnacentral:rRNA from 1 species
GGAAUAUUGCGCAAUGGCCGAAAGGCUGACGCAGCGACGCCGCGUGUGGGAGGAAGCCCUUCGGGGUGUAAACCACUGUCGGGAGGGAAGAAACUCGAGCGCUCGAAUAGGGCGAUCGAGUGACGGUCCCUCCAAAGGAAGCGCCGGCCAACUCCGUGACAGCAGCCGCUGUAAGGCGGAGGGCGCAAGCGUUGUUCGGAAUCACUGGGCGUAAAGCGCACGCAGGCGGUUUCUUAAGUCCUCUGUUAAAUCCCGGGGCUCAACCCCGGAGGUGCAGAAGAUACUGAGAGACUAGAGACCGGUAGAGGCUAGCGGAAUUCCUGGUGUAGCGGUGGAAUGCGUAGAUAUCAGGAGGAACACCGGUGGCGAAGGCGGCUAGCUGGGCCGGUUCUGACGCUCAUGUGCGAAAGCGUGGGGAGCA